rnacentral:rRNA from 1 species
AAACUUAGGCAGCCCUUUAUCCUCACCCCCGCUGCCCGCCCGGGAACUACGAGCACUAGCUUAAAACCCAAAGGACUUGGCGGUGCUUAAGAUCCACCUAGAGGAGCCUGUUCUUUAACCGAUAUUCCCCGUUCAACCUCACCCUCUCUUGCCCUCCGCCUAUAUACCGCCGUCGUCAGUUUACCCUGUGAAGGAAUAAUAGUUAACAAAACCAGCAAAGCUUAAAACGUCAGGUCGAGGUGUAGCUUAUGAGAGGGGCAGAAAUGGGCUACAUUCUCUGCAACAGAGCACACGAAAAA